GGAGAAAAGGGAGGGGGACGGAAGAGGAAGGAGGACUGAGCCCGGGAGAGAGAGGGGAGGGGUCGGCGCGCGACCGGGUCAUGCAGGUGCAGACUGGCCGGUCGCUUCCCGCCCUCCAGCCACCCGCAGCUCCCCGGCAGGCGAAGGGCGGCCGCGCGGGUGUGGGCCGAGAGAGGGAGGCGGCUCGGCUGGAGCGCGCCGUCCGCCCGACCCCCGCCGCCUCUCGGGCGCCUGCGCUCACGCUGCGGGGCCCAGCGCAUUGUGAGCCGGGUCGAGCUCCACGCUGGCAGCGUCUGAGAGCUGUCCUGGGCCGGAGGUGGCGCGAACCCUGUGCGGCCUAGAGUGGGCCUGGGGAAGCCAGCUGCCAUGUUCUGAGUACUCUCUGGAAGGGCCUGCAUGGCAAGGAACUGAUGUUUCCAGCCAGCAGCCAGCAAGAACUGCAAGCCUUGUGAAUGAGCUUGGAAGCAGAUCCUCCCCUCACUCAAGCCAUGAUAUGACAACAGCCUGAGACCCAGAGGUGGACGGUGGUGAGCUGUGUUUCCAGGCAAAGGGGAGGACAGGACGCCUUGUGGCAGCCCAAGCUGUGAAAAAUAGAAUCAGAAAUCUGAGCGUAGGAAGAAGUGGGUUAGCCCUGGAGAAAGGAAAAGGAGGAUCAUGGUUCUCUGCAAAGAGCUGGAAGCUAAAAAGCAGGCUGUGUUUACUUACCAACCAGGACUCAGUGGGAUCUUUGCCAGCUUCCAAUAUGGCCUUAAAAGUAUAUGAAAUCCAAGAAAUAUUUCUGCAAAGCAAGAGAUCUUCACUGCUUUAUUUUCCACCACCUGAAUCCUUGCAGUGAGUGUAGUGUGUAUCUAAUCAAUCUAUUAAAAAAUACUUCAAAAGUUCUA